UCCACGACUCUCAACUGUACAUUUUCACACCAGUUACUGUGCCCAGUAGUUGGAGUGCUAGCUGGGGUGUGCGGAUUUCUUCCUUCCCCUUUUCAUUCGUUCAAGCCAUUUUCGUUCUCUCUUUCGUUCUCCUUUCCGAAGCUCGGAGCCGUUGAACCGAGAGCAGGGUUAGACUGAUAAUAGUGGCAAGUCUGCAGUUGACAAAGGGAGAAGUCCUGUUUGGCUGAUGUAUUGUUGUUGGGCCCUUGAGUGAGUUUAUUAUGUUAAUUUGGUCGAUUUCUUUCUUAUCACAUUUCAUUUUUAAUUCUAGUGUAAUAUUGAAAAAAAAUAAAUAGAUAAUUUCUUUGGCGUGUUGGCAGAAGAUUCGUUUUUAUUUUCAUCAUAUAGUGAACGGUGGAUUGGUAUUCUGGAA